GCCUCGCCAGGCGACGCAGUACGAAGGAGAGGUAAGGAAGUCGUGAGUGUGCGUGACACCAAGCCACGCUCUCACCUACGUAGUACAUCGUUGCGUUGAUCGAAAACUUGGCUCCUUGGCUUCAUAUUCUCCUUACUAGCGCUCACCGGUUCCAGAAUCAAUUUUGCCGAUUAUCCAAUUAAUAAAACGCUUCGAGACCCGUCUUUCAAACCACAAUGCAUACGAGAGCAGUCGGAGUGCGCGGCUCGCCGACACCACCGACUCCACUGCCGCCGCCACUACCAACACCAGCACCAGUCCCAGCACCACCACCAGCAACAGCACUGGCAGAAGCACCACCACCGCCGCCAGCAGUACUUGGAGCACUGCUACCCCCUGCUGGUGAUUUGCUACCCGGACUUGCCGUAGUCCUGUGAAAUGUCAAAUAACAAGAAGACCAAAUGGUUAAUCGAUACUCUCUCUCUCUCUCUCACACACACACACACGCACACACACACACACGCACACACACACCCUUUCUCUGUUUUAUCUCAUUCCAUGUAUCUCUGAAAAUAUGUCUUGCCAUUAAUAUAAAUAACUAAUGUAAGUCAAUACGUAUUUGUAGUUACUAACCAGUGAUUGCCAACAACUAGAGAUGUACUGCGUUAAUCAAUAUCAUAUCGGUUAGGCAUGGUAUUCUCAAAUGGAAAUCACAUUUAUGGAGUCAACGUCAACGUCCAAACAUUUAUGUUCUGAUAUGAUUGAGACCAUAAAAAUCGUUGAAUCGCUUUAGUAGUCCGAUAUCCAUACCCAAUACGCAACAAAUUCAUUCUACCAAACUGAAUACUGAUAACACAAUUAGCGUGAGCUCGUGAGAGCGUGGCCCGUGUCGUGUGGCCAAACGGGGAGGGGGAAGUGCCGAAACUGCGCGCCGGCCGACGCACUAGGCAGUCUUCAUCUGAACAGCGCGGCGGACGGUGCCUACUACCUAGCCUACAGGGAUCUCUCGAACACCAUCAAAGGCCUCUUGAUGCCAACUAUAACCCAUUUCUAUGG